rnacentral:lncRNA from 10 species
CACGGGACCCGCUGCCUUCUCUGCUUCGGCUCCGGCAGCAGCGGCGAGAGCAAGGACGAGCGAAGUAGGACAUCGUUCAGCGGAUGAGAAGCCGAGGGCUUGGAGUAGGGAGGAGGGGCAGGAGGGGCGGGGAGGGAGCGUUCGCCCAGCGUUCGCUGAGCUAAAGGAUGACGAUGUUGCAGCUGGAGGGGUGGAAGUUGGACAACUGGAGAGUCUUCUCGUUGUUCAAAGAAGAAGGAGGAGGGAGUCAAUUAGACUGUAAGAAGUGGAUGAAGGGAGAAUGGGGGCUUUGCUCCUGAAAAGAGACACCCUUUCUAAUAAAAAAAAUGGAAAACUCUUUUCUGGAGGCAGAAUGGGGUGCAAAGGACCGUAGCUACCUCCCUGGAGGCAGCUAUGAUUGGGCAUUGGCUCCUGUGGUGCUCCCACUCCCUGCACAGAGGAGGAGCUGACUUUGCAGCUGGAAGGAUGGAGGUUAGACAGCAGAAUCAUGGGUUAAGCAAAGCAAUUCAGGAAAUCUCUAGACCUGGGGUGGGGGUGGGGUGAGGGUGGCCCUGUGAAGGGACAUUACCAGUCAUGCAAACCAAUGUGCAAAAUGCAGGCGUUGCUGGGAGCCCAGAAGGCCUACUGGCCAGGGCUGUCGAUGCUGAAUGUGCAGCCUGAUGCCAGGGGGUGGGCCUUGAGUGCUGCCCAGCCAGGAACUCCUCAGCGCCCAGAAUACCAAUGACCCUCCUUUCCCCCAGCUCCAGGGCCUCUGCUUCCCUCUCCUUUCCCAGGCUCUCUUUGCUUUUCCCUCCUCCCUCCUGGGACUGUAGGCAAAGCCCCUGGCACGGACAGUGGGCAGGACAGCCAGAUGCCUAGAUUCCCUCCCCUGGAUACCAAUAUUGGCACCAAGGAUAGCUUUGGAGGGCUUUGAUCCUCAUAAUCUCCACAGCAUCUUCAAAAUACCCCAAGUAAAGUAAGGUGCAUUCAAUGCAAAUGCAACCUCAAGGCAGAUCCCCAGCCUUCCAUCUAGACUGCACCCUAGGUCCCUCUUGGGAACUCUGGACUGCUCCCCACUGAAUGUGCCAACGCCCCCACUCACCACUGCCUGGCUUUCACUCCCAGUGCCAUGGACUUGGUUCCAAAGGGCUUUGAGAACCUCACAUAAAAACCCACUCCAAUUGCGCACACACACAGCAACCUAAUCUGCCCAGAUCUCCUGGCCAGGAGGUCAGAGGACCACUGCCCUGGAGAGCUCAUUAUUUGGGAGUAGAGACCUUUCCAGAGGAUUUCUCAGGGGAGGAAAUGGGCACUCUGAGGCUUUUCCAACAUUUCCAGCUGAGAAAAUUUAUACUGAAGGCUAACCUGCAGUUUGAACCAGCAAUUGCUGAUCAGAGACUCUCUUUACAAUUACGGACACUUGGCCAUAUGUGUCUUCCCCCGUUUCUAUUUACUUUCUGAGAGGAGGCAAGAAUCAGCCUCCUCCAGAGGCAAGAACCCCCUCCAGAGGAGGGGCUCUGCCUAGCCCCUCCAGAUCUCAGAAAGAGAUCCCUGGGGAUUGGCUGAAAGCAAACAGAAUCAAUGGCAGCGGGAAGAAUGAAAGUCAGAUUUCAGGUAGAACCUCCUGUCUCAGUAACAGGAGAAAAAUUCCUCCAGUAACCUUGAAUAUCUUCUGAACACGGAAACUGAGACCCAAAGAGGUCAAGCAACUGUCCAGAGUCACACAGCAUGGAACUGGCUGAACCAUGACCAAAAAUCAAGUCUCCUGACUCCCAGGCCAAGGUUCUUGCCAGGGCUCCCCAGAUGUCUAUCAGGGGAGGGAGAAAGAGGGAGGUGGAGAGAAGAAAGAGAGAGAGGGAGAGCGUGGGCAGCUCUCCUCCCUCUCCCACGUGCAGCCCAGCUGGCUGCCUCCCAGUCUCCUGGGCCCUGGGGAAUUUUCCAGCCUCUCUGGAUGAGAACAAUCAAUCUCCUGCCUCCACCGGACCCCCAACAUCCCCCAUCCAUGCCAAAGCUGAGGCCAUGACCCAAGUUGAGAAAAGAGAAUCUGCCCUCCACGCUCCUGCAUCCUGAGUUCCCCCCAUCUCCAGUGUUAGCCUUGGGCCUUCCUCACUGGAUUCUAUUCCACAGUGGCCACUGGGAGAGCCUGUCCUGCCAACCUCCUUGAACACCUGCCCCCUUUCUCCCAGACUUGGAGUGGGGGCCUAGGCAGCUGAGUUCCUCUCCGAGGCCCUGCACGGGCAUCUGGGUCUUGUGCCAUAGGCAUGUGGGAGUAGGGCUGAAGAGGGGGAUGUGGCUCUGAAUGCUGGCACAGCUGUGUUCAGAGAAUGGGGGCUUUGAUAGCUUCUGAAAGAGGCCAGGAAGCACGGGACCCCAGCCCAGGCAGGAGGGGGUGGGGGGCAGAAAUGGCUGAGUGUGGCUCUGAGGGCUCUUGCUGCCGCAGACAGGGAGUGUGGAGUGGGAGGGGAUGUGGAGCAGUAGGGAGACAGCAAUGGGGACUACAGGCUGAACAGCAUCAUCAGAGAGCCCCCCUGCUGCACCAGCAGGAGCCAGCGUCCCCAUGAGCUGGUCAGACCGCGCUUUGAGGGUUGCAAACCCAUGUGUUCAGAGGAGACCAUCAGCUUGUUGCACAAAGAACAGCGGGAGGAACUGGAGGGCUGGAGCCCGAGUACAUCUGAAUUUACCUCUUGAGGUCCCACCAGAAGGCUGCCUGUAGUGCCUCUCCCAGCCUCCUAUGGGGAAGGACCACUCAUUUGUCUGUGAUGUUGGGGCAGGUACUAAUCUCCCUGUGCUUCAGUUUCUUCACCUGUAAAAUGGUAAUAACCCCUUGUUGUAUGGUUUUGAUGUUGGAGCCAUGUAAAUAUUUUAUAUAAUUAAAAUACGAAAUUAAUUAGAGAGAGUUUACAUUAAUUUUAAUUAAAUUAAAAUGAAGAAAAAUGAAGCAAUCCCUAAAAGUAUAAAACAAAUUGUAACAAAU